UACGUAGGGUGCGAGCGUUAAUCGGAAUUACUGGGCGUAAAGCGUGCGCAGGCGGUUCGUUAAGUUCGAUGUGAAAGCCCCGGGCUCAACCUGGGAACUGCAUUGGAAACUGGCGAGCUUGAGUGUGGCAGAGGGGGGUGGAAUUCCGCGUGUAGCAGUGAAAUGCGUAGAGAUGCGGAGGAACACCGAUGGCGAAGGCAGCCCCCUGGGCUAACACUGACGCUCAGGCACGAAAGCGUGGGGAGCAAACAGG
rnacentral:rRNA from 1 species